GUAAGCUUUUUCAAGGCGUUAACUACAGCACCCUUUAAUACCUCAACUCUUGAUUCAGCCAAGGUAAGUGCCCCCCCUUAUAUUUUCUAUGUAUGUGUUCAGCUGAUAUUUAGAAAAAAAUAGGUGUGUUUAGCGCUGGAUGUCAUUUUAUUCCAGAGCUGUUGUUUGUAAUUAAAACUUUUAAGAUUAGAUGGUACAGUGUUUUUACUCCCUUCCAAACAGUAAAGUUCCUCUUUGUCUCUCAGUAGGAAAUUUAAACCAGACAGUACAAGGCUACAUUUCAGUGUUACAAGCCAAUCAGUUUGCUAAUUGUUCUGUGAGAUUUGUUUGCAAAGUUUAAGGUGUUAAGUAGGACUGUGAACAUCUGGGUCUGCUUGCUGCUGGCAUUCUGCCAGAGCCCCAGCAACGAGACUGCCUGUCAGCCUUGCAAGGUACCCAAUUUUCCAAUUACUCUAUAACAAAACUGUUGUGGGCAACAAGACUGUCUCCUAAGUUUGCAAGCCAAUCACUUUGCCAAAUGUUCUUGUAAGAUUUGUUUGAAAAGUUUGAGGUGGUAACUGUGAGCUGUGAACAUCUGGGUUUGCUUGCUGCUGGCAUUUGACCAGCGUCUCAGCAACAACACUGCCUCCCAGCUUUGCAAGGUAAUUACUUUCCCAAUUACUGUACACCAAAACAAAGUAACUGUCGUGGUCAACAAAUCUGCCUCCCAACAUUCAAGGUAAUCACUUUCUCAAUUACAAUAUACAAACUGUUAUGGAACUUUACUUAACAAAGCCUUAAGACCGGGUAGUGACACUAUCAAUAUGUCUAUUUAAAGAAAAGAGAGAUUUUUUUUUGUUCUUGUAGUCAUCUUGUCUGUCAAUGUAUCAGAGGGUUAAAAUAACAAAUUGCUUGAAAUGCCAAUAAUUAAUAUUCUGUUUUUAUGUUGACAUUCUACCAGAUGCCGAGAAAAAAUAAAAGAUCCCAGGCACAAAAGAAGCGCUGGAAACCACUUGACCUGGUCGAUCCUGCUGUCCCAAUGCUCACUGGCCACAACCAAGAUGAGGCAGUCAGUAGUUUUCCAUCUGACCAGCAGACGGCACCAGCCGGGUUAUCUUUGGAAACACAGGAUAGACCCACCUCCUUAUGUUCCCCAGGUACCAAGCAGACAGCACCAGCCAGCUUGUCCUUGGAAACGGAGAAUAGACCCACCUCCUUAUGUCCUCCAGGCAGCAAGAGUUCAGAAACUCGUCCACCAGCAAAACGAGUCUGGGCAACCGAUGAUUUCCACACGGCAUCAAAUUCUCCACCUAAAAAGCCUUUCCACAACAUAAAUGAACAACUACUGACAGAGGAGCUACAGAGCAACGCAGUUCAGCACUUCUGGUGUGUCAGUGCAACUCAUUGUCAAAGUGAUGAAAGGUACACAGAAUUCUCUCGAAAUCAUCAGUGCACAUGUAAUGCCCUCACAUUCCUGGCCUACCUUAAUGAGGAACACCAGUUCAACACAGCCCGACUUGAUAAGGUGCUUAAACAGGGAGAUGCACUCUACUGUUGGAUUAAAACAAAUCUUCAGCAGGAGAGGCGUUAUACACAAGAUCAUCUGACCAUGGAGGACCUACCCAAAGAAGUUCAUGCUGACAUAAAUGUCUACAGUGUGAAAAUGGACAACAUAAGGUAUGGAUACCUGAAAGCAGCAGACAAAACUUACCAAAGAAAAGAGUGGUGGUUGCCUCUUGCUAGUCGCCUUGUAUGUCUGUCAACAGAUGUGAACUAUGCUUUGCUCAUGGUUUCACCUCAGUGCAUUGCAGUUUUCCGUGACAAAUCUGGGAGGUAUGGAUUAUUUGAUUCACAUUCAAGAAGUGCAGCAGGUUUACACCAGCCAAAUGGAACAGCAGUCAUGCUCACUUUCACUCAUGUGAAUGACCUGAUCAACCACCUGCAUAACCUUUUUCAAAAUCAAGGCAGGUAUGCAAGAUAUGAGUUUGUGCCUGUUUCUUUCAAAAGAGUCAGCACUCACAACGAACAGCCUGCACAGUCAACUCGGGCAACAGCAGCAACAGCUACAUCAUAACCACAAAAUGAUGAACCACAAAUCACAAAUUCCACUGUGCAAGUGCCUCAACCAGAAUCAGCCCAAACCUACAUGACAAUGUUAGAAAAUACUUCAAACUCAUCACAAGACAAAAUGGCUUCAAAUCAAAUCUGUGAACAUCAACUUGAAACAUCUGUUGACCCAACAAGCAACAUCCAGAAAGAACAACAAGAAAUUAGCCUCAAUAAUGAAAGAGAUAAAGUAAAAGAUAAAACCCACCAAAAAGCAAGAAAUGUGAGCAGAUUAAAUAAAGGACGACGUGGGAAAGCUAUUCGUCAAGCUCAAAAAAGUCAGAGGGAGUAUGUAAAAGCUAAAGACAAAUCUUCAACUGAAGAAGUGGCAAAGAAGACAAACAAAAAAAGACAUGAAAGAGAACGAUAUGCCUGCUGUCGUGAAUUUCGAAUGAAAAGAUUACAGACUAUGAAAAUUCAAUAUGCUGAAAACUGUCAUUACCGUAAACAAAGACUAUUAUCAGCCAAAAAUUAUUAUGCAAAUCCUCAUAUUCAAGAAAAAGUAAAAGCCCACAAGGUGAAGAGAUACCAAAGUGAUCAUCAUUUUCAACAAAAAAUGAGAAACUACAUUAUCAGAAGAUAUACCACAGAUCCUGACUAUCAAACCAGACAGAAGCAAUAUGUGGUCCAGAGGUACAACACGGAUGCCAGCUUUCAAACCAGACAGAAACAAUAUGUGGUCCAGAGGUACAACAGGGAUGCCAGCUUUCAAACAAGACAGAAACAAUAUGUGGUCCAGAGGUACAACACGGAUGCCAGCUUUCAAACCAGACAGAAACAAUAUAUGGUCCAGAGGUACAACACGGAUGCCAGCUUUCAAACCAGACAGAAGCAAUAUAUGGACCAGAAAUACAAAGAGGAUCAUGUCAGAGAAAGGAAGAAGGCAUACAUAAGAACAAAAUAUGCAUCGGAUCCAAACUACAGGCACAAACAAAAAAAAUCAAUUCAUGCCAGGUACCACAAUGACUCACAAUUCAGACUGCACCAUAUACAGCGCUGUGCCCAGUACCAGAGACACAAAAUGGCUACCACUGCAUCUUUCGCCAUUUAUAAAAAGUUGUGUGCACAGAGAAUAAAGAAGAAAUACAGACGACUAGUAACACAAUUCCAGCAGGGUCCACAGUCUGAAGCACAGCCCCAGCUUGUAGUGAAUAGUGUGAUGCAAGCAGCCACAUUAGCUUUCCGUGAAACAAUUAAGUUAGCACCCACCCAUGUCUGUACGGUGUGCCACAGAACUCUGUUUCCUAAUCAAGUUCAACACUGCAAAAGAUCAAAGUAUGUUACAAAUAGUCACGUUGUUGACACUUGCUUGACAGGAAAAUUUGUCCAUGUUUGUGAUAGUGAAUGUACAGCUAAUUGUACCUUUCCAAAACAAAGAAUGCAAGAGUGGAUUUGCUACAACUGUGACAGCCACCUACAACGAGGAAAGAUCUCUUCCAUCGCAGUGGCAAACAAUUUAGCACUAGCACCCAUUCCAAUUGAACUGGGUCAAUUAAAUGUACUAGAACGACAACUGAUUGCUAAAAUUCUCCCGUUUGCCAAAAUCAUUGCAUUACCAAAAGGACAGCAAAGAGCCGUACAUGGGGCUGUUGUUUGUGUACCGUCGGAUGUGGAAACCACAGUAAACUCUCUUCCCAGACCUUGCAAUGAAGCCCAGCUCCUGCAGGUACAACUGAAAAGACACAUCAGAUUCAAAGGAUACCAACACUUCUACACUGUGAACAUGAAGAAUGUGUUAGCAGGCUUAUCAAAGCUAAAAGAGAUGCAUUCAGAAUACAAAGAUGUAUCUAUCGAUGAUGACGCUACUUUUGCUGAUCCCACAAAUAAUCAGAUAAUCGAGACGGAACAUGACACUGCUGAUGUAGAUAUUCAAGAUGCACUGCCCAGAAACUUCGACAACCAAAUUGUACCAGAAAGAAGAACCACUGAGGAUACAACAGCUGGAAUACUUGAGCCAUGUCAUGAUGUAAACGAACUAUUGGAGCCUGAACACUCAAAUGGAGAGCCCUUACAAGAUAUGGAGAAAGAAAAGGAAGAACUUCGCCCCGGUCUUGUUCUAGACACCUGUAUGCAACCACCAGAUAUAGCACAGGACAUUUUAUCAUAUGGUGAAGGAAUAUUUAGCAUUGCACCCGCCCAAAGAAAUAGACCUGUUGGCUUCUUCUCUGUUCCUAAACUUGAAGCCAUGGCCUUUCCUGUGCAGUUCCCAACUGGACAGAACACAUUAGAUGAAGCCAGACAAGUCAAACUGUCCCCAAGCAUGUAUUUUAAUACACGGCUGUUCUCUGCAGAUACACGGUUUGCAACUGACCAAAGCUACCUAUUCUGUGCACAGUUUGUAACAGAAAAACACAUGGCUACAAACAGCAUGUCCAUCCAAUUGCGCAAAGGUAAGGCAAUCACCAAGGAUGGACGUAGAAUUUGUAACAGAAUGCUUCAAAAUAAAGACGAAGUGGAGAGACUGAUAAAUAACAAAUAUGCAACACGCUUCAUGAAACCUCUGAGAGGUACUCCAGCCUAUUGGGAGAAGGCACUGAAAGAUCUCCAUGCUAUGGUCAGACAGUUAGGAAAGCCAACUUUUUUCCUGACAUUUUCAGCUGCUGAAAUGAGAUGGCCUGAGGUUGUUGAGGUCAUAAAAACUCAACAAGGUGAACAAGUGGAUUUUUCACAACUUGACUGGAACACAAAGUGUGAAAUUCUCCGAAGCAACCCUGUGACUGUGAUGCGAUUGUUUGAAAAAAGAGUCGAUGCACUAAUGACAACACUGAUCCUGUCCCCAGCACAGCCCAUCGGUGAAGUAGAAGAUUACUUUUAUCGAGUGGAGUUUCAGGCCAGAGGUAGCCCUCAUAUCCAUUUACUGGUUUGGGUCAAAGAUGCACCUAAAUUUGGAAGCGACCUUGAAGACCACGUGUACAAAUUUAUUGACAAGUACAUAACAUGUAAGAUGCCUGACCAAAAUGCCGAUCCUGAACUUCACAAAAUUGUGUCUGAGGUUCAAGUCCACAGCAGAAAUCACUCCAGAUCCUGUAAAAAAGGUAAUGUGUCAUGUAGGUUUGGGUUCCACAAACUACCGGUAGACCAAACAAUGAUCACUUUCCCAAGCCCAGAUGAUGACGAUGAUCACAAUGAUAAGCAGCAUAGCACAAGUAAGGAGAAAGGCACAAAUGAAAAACAAAAGCAAAAAAACAGACGAAUGGCUCUCGCAAAAAAACAGAAAGAGGCCAAAGAAAAAUUCCAGCCAUUGAGAGAUUUGCUCUGUGACCCAAAUUCCUCGUUUGAAGACUUGUCUGAGCUGCUUCACAAAUGCAAAUUAACUUAUGAACAAUACUUGGAUUGUGUCUUCAAUUUAAGCAAUGGCCAUGUCAUCCUCUUAAAGCGUGAACCUAAUGACUGCUGGGUGAAUGCAUACAAUGCAGAUCUGCUGAGAGCCUGGAAUGCCAACAUGGACAUCCAUAAUGUCAUUGAUGACUACAGCUGCCUGAUGUACAUGAUGUCUUAUGUCUCUAAACCCGAAUUUGAGAUGACACAAUUUCUUAAUGGAGUCAUCCAGGAGGUCAAAAAGUCCAAUGUCAAUGAAAGAGAUGAAAUGAAACAGAUAAUGCAGGCAUAUGCUAAACACAGAGAAGUCAGUGCCCAAGAAUCCGUGGCAAGGACAUGCAGCCUGCCACUAAAAAAGUGUUCAUGCAGUGUGGUGUUCAUACAGACUGAUGAUGAUGCCCUGAAAAUGAGUCUCCCGAUGAGCAGGUUGCAGAGCAUGGCACCAGAUGAUGAAAAUGUGUGGAUGUCUGGAUUGCCAGAAAAUUAUGCAAACAGACCCAGAACACCUGAGUUUGAAAGAAUGUGUUUGGCUGAAUUUGCUUCAGAGUACAGGAUUCUCUACAGCCGUCAAACAGAGUCAAAAAAUGCCAUCCCUCUUUUGAAUAACAUGGGUUAUAUUCAAAAGAGAACAAGAGGGAAACCUGCAAUAAUCAGAUAUCCUCGGUUCUCAGAAAAGAAACAACCAGAGAAGUUUUAUAGCAGACUACUAAAACUUUAUUUUCCACAUCGAUCAAAUGAUGACCUUAAAAACACAAAAUACCCCACAUCUGAACAGUUCUACAAAAGUGGAGGAAAACAUGGUUUUGCAGUACGGCCAAUUGUUACCUUUAACAAAAAGCGUUAUGAAAGCCAUGGCAAAACAAUGGAAAGGGCACUGGAACAGAUUGAACAACAAGGCCCACUUAUCAAUGCAUGGAACACCUUUGCACCUGAGGUUGAAGUAGAUCGUUUAGAGUGUGUGGCCCAACGACAAUCCAGACAUGACACUGACGAAAAUGAAAUGGACAUUGUUCCAGACUACCAAGUCAGUGGUAGCAGCAGUGGAGCCAUGCCAGCAAUCAUAGCACCAAAGCUGAGCCCAGACUUUGUCAGAAAAAUGUACCAAAGUCUGAAUGAAACCCAAUCAUCCAUAUUCUACGCAGUGCGUGAGUGGUGUUUCAAACUUGUGUGGGGUCACUGUCCUGAACAGUUCUUUUAUUUUGUCUCUGGAGGAGCUGGCUGUGGAAAAUCACAUGUUAUCAAGUCCAUAUAUGAGGAGGCAACAAAGAUUUUGCACCAACUCCCCAGAUUCCGUGACCAAGCAGACAUGUCCUACCCUGCAGUACUGCUGACUGCAUUUACUGGCACUGCAGCUUUUAACAUAUCUGGGAAAACACUGCACUCUCUGCUAAAGCUGCCAAAAUCUUUAAAACUGCCGUAUCAGGGCCUGGGGAAUGCACUGGAUGAAGUGAGAGCUUCACUUUCAAAUGAAGAGAUUCUGGUCAUUGAUGAGAUAUCUAUGGUUUCUAAAGACCUUUUUGCCUACAUCCACUGGAGACUUCAGCAGAUCAAAGGAAACAAGAAGCCUUUUGGUGGGAUGUCUAUCCUUGCAGUAGGAGACUUUUACCAGCUGCCACCCCUUGGAAAAGCCAAACCACUCUGUGUGUACAAGGACAAUGUCCUUGAUCUCUGGAAAGACUAUUUCCACAUGGUCAACCUGACAGAAAUCAUGCGAGAGAAAGAUGAUCAUUCUUUUGCUGAAGUUCUGAACAGGAUAAGAGUGAAGCAAAAAACAGAUUCUCUUGAAGCCAAUGAUAAAGCCUUGCUCACACAAGCUAUCCAUGACAUAAAAGACUGUCCAUCUAAUGUAUUACACAUUUGUGCUACAAACAAAGAGGUCGACAAACACAAUUCAGCAACUGUAACUGCUCUUCAUUCUGAUAUCAUAAAUAUUCAGGCCGAAGACUACAGAAAAGACCCACGAACGGGUGAGAUGGUCCUCCUGGCAGAUAUGAUGAAAGGCAACAAAAGAGAUUUACCUGAUAACAUACAAGCUGCACCUGGAGUGUGUGUUAUGAUUAUUAGAAAUUUGGAUGUUGAAGAUGGGCUUGUUAAUGGGACAUUUGGAACAAUCACGAACAUUGUGACAACCACACAGGAUGGACCAAAAACUGUGAAUCUCAUUGGACUUACGCUGGACAAUCAAAAUUCUGGGCAAAAAUUUCGCAGAAAAAUACAAGGAUCCUCAGACAACCUGGUAUAUAUUGAGAAAUGUGAAGAAUCUACAAGUAAAAAAGGAGUUCUUCGCAGGCAAUUUCCAAUGAAGUUGGCCUUUGCAUGUACAGCUCACAAAGUACAAGGCAUGACAAUGGAGUCAGCAGUAGUAUGUUUGAAGCGUGUUUUUGAACCUGGAAUGGCCUAUGUUGCACUCAGCCGCACAACCUCACUUAAAGGACUGUACAUCACAGACUUUGAUGAAAGGAAAAUCUAUGCUGAUCCUGCCAUCACAGAUGCACUCAAAAAUAUGAGACAUGCAUCAUUUGAGAAUGCAAGACCACUGUUGCAAUUCUUAAAAUCAGUUGUUCCCACAGUCCCCACAUUGACAAUUAUCCAUCACAACGCACAAGGUCUCCCAACUCACAUGGAGGACAUGAGAUGCCACCAUGAACUCAGCCUUGCUGAUGUUUUAUGCAUAACAGAAACUCACUUGUCUGGAUCAUCAGUUUCUCCCCGCUUCCAGCUGGAACAAUACAACAUGGCCACACGCAACAGACACGUCUCUUACACAAACCAUACAGACAUGGCGAAGGUAAAUGGCGGUGGAGUUGCAAUGUACUACAAAACAGUUCUUACAGCAGAGUCUCGAAAAUACCUGCAAAAUGUGACUGACCUUGAAUUUGUUGUUAUCAAGGUUGAAUCGCCAGUCACAGCUUUGAUAGCAACUGUAUACAGGCCACCAAAUUACAGCCACGUGAGGUUUUUACCACAAAUGCAAUGUCUUUUGGACUCAUUGGAAAUGAUGAAUUGCCAACCAAUUAUUGUUUGUGGAGACUUCAAUGAGGACCUUAUGAGCAGAGGGAAAAAACCCAUCCAAGAACUGUUUCAGUCAAGAGGAUAUGCACAACUUAUUACUGCUGCAACCACCGAAAAACACACAUUGAUUGAUCACCUUUACAUAUCACAGCCAUACGCCUGCCUCCAAUCAGGUGUUCUGAAUACAUAUCACAGUUAUCACAACCCCAUUUAUUGUGUAAUUCACUAACACAAAAUGACUGCAAGGUUGUGAGGGAUAUGGACUUGCCAAGUGAUCUUAGUGUCUUUGCAACUGAGCACACUACCAGCAACACUGACAGCUCACCAGUGGGAGCUGAUAGAUAAGACUGCUCUCAUCCAUUGAAGAGCUGACCAGAAACGUGAACAGAAAGACUGCAACUGCACCUGAUGGGAUCCCUGCCAUAACAGAUGUGUUCUGUCCAGUGAAGGCAGUGGAGAAGCCCUACACUGAUCUUGAAACUGU